GGAAUUUUGGACAAUGGGGGCAACCCUGAUCCAGCCAUGCCGCGUGAGUGAAGAAGGCCUUCGGGUUGUAAAGCUCUUUCAGUUGGGAAGAAAAGGCGGGCUCUAACAUAGCUUGCUACUGACGGUACCAACAGAAGAAGCACCGGCUAACUACGUGCCAGCAGCCGCGGUAAUACGUAGGGUGCGAGCGUUAAUCGGAAUUACUGGGCGUAAAGCGUGCGCAGGCGGUUCGCUAAGACAGGUGUGAAAUCCCCGGGCUCAACCUGGGAAUGGCGCUUGUGACUGGCGGGCUAGAGUACGGCAGAGGGGGGUGGAAUUCCACGUGUAGCAGUGAAAUGCGUAGAGAUGUGGAGGAACACCGAUGGCGAAGGCAGCCCCCUGGGCCGAUACUGACGCUCAUGCACGAAAGCGUGGGGAGCAAACAGGAUUAGAUACCCUGGUAGUCC
rnacentral:rRNA from 1 species